UACGAAGGGGGCUAGCGUUGUUCGGAAUUACUGGGCGUAAAGCGCACGUAGGCGGAUAUUUAAGUCAGGGGUGAAAUCCCAGAGCUCAACUCUGGAACUGCCUUUGAUACUGGGUAUCUUGAGUAUGGAAGAGGUAAGUGGAAUUCCGAGUGUAGAGGUGAAAUUCGUAGAUAUUGGGAAGAACACCGGUGGCGAAGGCGGCGACCUGGUCCGAUACUGACGCUGAGGCGCGAAAGCGUGGGGAGCAAACAGG
rnacentral:rRNA from 1 species